rnacentral:rRNA from 1 species
GACGGAGGGGGCUAGCGUUGUUCGGAAUUACUGGGCGUAAAGGGCGCGUAGGCUGCCAUGUGUGUCAGGUGUGAAAUCCCAGAGCUUAACUCUGGAACUGCUUCUGAAACUGCAUGGCUUGAGUGAGUGAGAGGCGGACGGAAUUCCGAGUGUAGCAGUGAAAUGCGUAGAUAUUCGGAGGAACAUCGGUGGCGAAGGCGGUUCGCUGGCACUCUACUGACGCUGAGGCGCGAAAGCGUGGGGAGCAAACAGG